CAACUACUAUUUUGACAUCACCAUCAUUAGUCUCAGGAACUGGGUCCGACUUGAAGAAAGGUUUAAGCCUGUCUUCCAGAAAUUCCUCUCCAAAAGUCUUUAUCUUUUCCAAGGUAAGUUCCCCGUCAAGUACAAAUUUCUGACCAUCAUUAUUUCCUGUGUAAGCAAGAACUGUGGGAGCAUUUCCAGUGAUACCAAAAUAAUCUGCAACAGGCUUUCCAACAUCUUCAUUGUCCAAUUCAACAUAUACAAAGACAAGCUUUCCCUUGAAAAAUUUAGCUGCUUCUUGAAAUAUUGGCAAAACUUUCCCUGAAUCAUUUGAAGUUGCAAAUAACAAC
rnacentral:misc_RNA from 1 species